AUCCAACUGAAGAGUCCCAAAUAGGAUGAAAUGCGCAUCCUUGAU
rnacentral:hammerhead_ribozyme from 1 species